AUACGUAGGUGGCAAGCGUUGUCCGGAAUUAUUGGGCGUAAAGCGCGCGCAGGCGGUCCUUUAAGUCUGAUGUGAAAGCCCACGGCUCAACCGUGGAGGGUCAUUGGAAACUGGGGGACUUGAGUGCAGAAGAGGAAAGUGGAAUUCCAAGUGUAGCGGUGAAAUGCGUAGAGAUUUGGAGGAACACCAGUGGCGAAGGCGACUUUCUGGUCUGUAACUGACGCUGAGGCGCGAAAGCGUGGGGAGCAAACAGGAUUAGAUACCCUGGUAGUCCACGCCGUAAACGAUGAGUGCUAAGUGUUAGGGGGUUUCCGCCCCUUAGUGCUGCAGCUAACGCAUUAAGCACUCCGCCUGGGGAGUACGUUCGCAAGACUGAAACUUAAAGGAAUUGACGGG
rnacentral:rRNA from 1 species